CUAUCCAGAGUCUAUGUGGUCAAAGCGGUGCUCGGUCAAAAGCGGUUUGAGCCACCGAGAUAUUUCUUCUUUUCUUCUUCAUCCAUACUUUUCCCGUGUCUUCUUCUCUGCCAUCCUCUUUUCUACCCCAUUGCCAUCCUCCACGUUUCUUCUCUGCCGCCAUGCUUCCGAUUCGGUUGAUGCCGUCGAGGAGGAGCUCGGGGUUCUCCUUUUCUUCCUGCUAGUGCCGCGGUGGAGGAUGAGGAAUUCAUCCCCGUGGUCGAACCCCUCUCUUAGGUGGAGAAAAGGCGUGUGCGUGGUCGCCGGCGGAGCGGCGGGAUCUGCGCCGCUGCUGACGCGGGCGGUAAGGGAGGUGCAGAAUGGGCACGGUCCUGCUCCUGGGCCACCCGCACUCUCGGCCGUGGCCGCCGCUCGCCGGUGCUGGCCGUUCGACCAGGAGCUCGAUGUGUCGUGUGUGCGUGCUGCAGAUGCAGCAGAUGAUUUCGUCUGCUGCGCUUGGUUAUGGCGGCGACAUGGGAAGAAUCUGAUGCCACUAAUUUGGGCCGAUGACUGUGUGAUGUGGUUUCAGAUGUCGCGUGUCAUGGACGUGGCCUUCUUCUGGUUGGGCUGCCUACAUCCACGACAGAGGAUGAGAGAACAGGGAAGUUGUAGGUCGGAAUCUCUCAUUCAACACACUCAUCUGUGUGUGGGCGUGCGGCGCGGCGGCGUGGUGGCGAUGUGCCGCCAUGGCGACGCUGCUAGGAGGAACGUGGACGGCGCAGGCGGCCAGACGUGCUCCAAAUCGUCAAUCCCCACCCAUGUGUAUUGUGGUCCUGCAGGUCCACAUAAGAAAGGAGAGGCAGGUUCAGAUUAGCACUCCACCAGCUUCUGGGAGUUGACACGCAGGGACAUGGGAGACCAACAGGGAAGGCAACACUGUCCAGCCGUGGCCAUGAUGCACCUCCUUGGAAAAAUUCCAGAUUCGUUUUUUCUUCAGCUGCAUUUGAUUAAUCGAGUGGAUAUUUAAUUUUGGUAAAGGUAUAUAAAGCGACGAGGAGAUAGGAAAGUUGUCAAAGUUGGACCUAGAGAAAGGAGGCUUUUCUGCUUCCAGCAAGGAUGGGCCAUACUGCCAGAGGGUCACCUUCAAAUGCACAUACACGGCGGCACCGUGGAUGUUCCCAAGCGGACAACGAGUGCAACCAACUUAAAAGGUGUGAAUCUCAUUGUGUAGGAUUCAGUUUGAGCAGUGACUCUUUGUACUUUACUGAAAUUUAACUUGACAGAAAUAUAUGUGAUGCCUUUUUCUAUGUAUAAGUCUCUGUCCAGAUUCUCCCAUUUGAUCAAAGGAUUAUCAACCAAGCCUGCCAAAAAAUUAGCCCGAUGAUAAAUAUAGAUACACACAUGUUAUUGAUCGCCACACUGUAGGUCCAGUUAAAUGAUCAUUAUUUGUUCUGGUUCAUGAUACCGAGCCUGCCAAAAAAUUAGCCUGAUGAUAAAUAUAGAUACAGACAUGUUAUUGAUCGUUUCAUGAUUGCUCCAAUUGUCUUCCCAUAAUCCUUUUUUUUUGCGGGUAGUCUUCCUAUGGUCGAUCCUUUUCUUAAGA